AGAGUUUGAUCCUGGCUCAGAUUGAACGCUGGCGGAAUGCUUUACACAUGCAAGUCGAACGGCAGCACGGGGCAACCUGGUGGCGAGUGGCGAACGGGUGAGUAAUACAUCGGAACGUGCCCAAUCGUGGGGAUAACGUAGCGAAAGUUACGCUAAUACCGCAUACGAUCUACGGAUGAAAGCGGGGGAUCGCAAGACCUCGCGCGAGUGGAGCGGCCGAUGUCAGAUUAGGUAGUUGGUGGGGUAAAGGCUCACCAAGCCAACGAUCUGUAGCUGGUCUGAGAGGACGACCAGCCACACUGGAACUGAGACACGGUCCAGACUCCUACGGGAGGCAGCAGUGGGGAAUUUUGGACAAUGGGCGCAAGCCUGAUCCAGCCAUUCCGCGUGCAGGAUGAAGGCCUUCGGGUUGUAAACUGCUUUGUACGGAACGAAACGGCGAGCUCUAAUACAGUUUGCUAAUGACGGUACCGUAAGAAUAAGCACCGGCUAACUACGUG
rnacentral:rRNA from 1 species